rnacentral:rRNA from 1 species
UACGAAGGGGGCUAGCGUUGUUCGGAAUUACUGGGCGUAAAGCGCGUGUAGGCGGGUCUUUUAAGUCAGGGGUGAAAUGCCAAGGCUCAACCUUGGAACUGCCUUUGAUACUGGAGACCUUGAGUCCGGGAGAGGUGAGUGGAAUUGCGAGUGUAGAGGUGAAAUUCGUAGAUAUUCGCAAGAACACCAGUGGCGAAGGCGGCUCACUGGCCCGGAACUGACGCUGAGACGCGAAAGCGUGGGGAGCAAACAGGG